rnacentral:rRNA from 1 species
CUACGGGUCGCACCAGUCGAGAAUCUUCCACAAUGCAGGAAACUGUGAUGGAGCGACGUCGCGUGAUUGAUGAAGUACUUCGGUAUGUAAAGAUCUUUUAUAAGGGAAGAAGUUUAUUGACAUUACCUUAUGAAUAAGGGGCCGCUAAACUCGUGCCAGCAGCGGCGGUAAUACGAGUGCCCCGAGCGUUAUCCGGAAUCAUUGGGCGUAAAGGAUCCGUAGGCGGUCUUAUUAGUCUUCUGUUAAAACCUGGAGCUCAACUCCAGAUCAGCAGGAGAAACGGUAAGACUAGAGGACGCAAGAGGUAUGCGGAACUCAUGGUGUAGGGGUGAAAUCCGUUGAUAUCAUGGGGAACACCGAAGGCGAAGGCAGCAUACUGGGGCGUUCCUGACGCUGAGGGAUGAAAGCUAGGGUAGCGAAUGGGAUUAGAUACCCCGGUAGUC